rnacentral:rRNA from 1 species
CCCUGCCAUUUGUACACACCGCCCGUCGCUACUACUGAUUGGAUGAUUAAGCAAGAACUGUUGAAGUUCUUUGUUGAGGCUUCGUGCUUUGACAUUGAAUGGAAGCGGAUCGAGCUUAUUUGUCUAGAGGAAGUAAAAGUCGUAACAAGGUUUC